UACGAAGGGAGCUAGCGUUGUUCGGAAUCACUGGGCGUAAAGCGCACGUAGGCGGAUUUGUCAGUCAGGGGUGAAGUCCCGGGGCUCAACCUCGGAACUGCCUUUGAUACAGCAAGUCUUGAGUUCGAGAGAGGUGGGUGGAAUUCCUAGUGUAGAGGUGAAAUUCGUAGAUAUUAGGAAGAACACCGGUGGCGAAGGCGGCCCACUGGCUCGAUACUGACGCUGAGGUGCGAAAGCGUGGGGAGCAAACAGG
rnacentral:rRNA from 1 species